UGUAAGGUGCAGUCACUGUAUAAGUAGUUUUUGCCAAUCAAACUAUAUUGUCUCUAUAACAACUUCCGUUAAUAUGAGAUCAGCGUCGAUAUAUAUACGAAAGCAGUAACCAAAGGUAUUUUACAUUAACCUCUGCCGGACUGCAGUGAACACUAGAGAUCUUGAAGAGUUUGGUGCAACAGAAUACAACAUGAACAGACUAGCGCUUGUAAUACUCUUCGUCUGCUUGAGCGCAGUGCUCAUCAACAACCAAGUCGACGCAUUCUUUAAGGCAGGUCGUAGUUUACAUGACCGACAAGCUGCUAGACAAGUUGACAACGCCAUGGAAGGUGAAAUUGGCGCAGCUGAUGCAAAGGAACUCUGGGAAGAAUUUGUAAAAGCCAGAAGUGCCGAGAGAAAACGAGCUAUGCAAGACAGGCAGUGAUUCCAAUUUUUUACUUCCUAAGUAACCCUUUUGAAAAACGACAUGGCAAAUGAACUUACGCAUACAYCUAACUAUUGUAAAUAAAUUGUGGUCAGCCACUAAAACACGUCUUGAUGUGUUAUAUUAGAACUUUUUGGGGCUUCUUCUGUGACCAAAUUAAAAAAAUGCAAAAAAAAAAAAAAAAGAUUGCAAGCCCCUUGAAUUGUUAUCGAAGCACAGGAAAUGUAUGCAAUCUGAAGCACAAGAAUAAAAUCAUCAAUUCCAAUUA